rnacentral:rRNA from 1 species
CCCUUAGAUGUCCUGGGCCGCACGCGCGUUACACUGAUGCAUUCAACGAGCUUAUAACCUUGGCCGAGAGGCCUGGGCAAUCUUGUUAACGUGCAUCGUGAUAGGGAUAGAUUAUUGAAAUUAUUAAUCUUGAACGAGGAAUUCCUAGUAAACGCAGAUCAUCAAUCUGCAUUGAUUACGUCCCUGCCCUUUGUACACACCGCCCGUCGAACCUACCGAUUGGAUGGUCCGGUGAAGCCUCGGGAUUGUGGUUCUUGCCGCUUUAUUGUGGCGUGACCGCGAGAACUUGUCUAAACCUUAUCAUCUAGAGGAAGGUGAAGUCGUAACA